rnacentral:rRNA from 1 species
AGUGAUAGCAAUAUUACUUUGGCUAGACCGGCGCACGGGUGCGUAACACGUAUGCAACCUACCUUAUACUGGGGAAUAACUUCGAGAAAUCGGCGCUAAUACCCCAUAACAUUGCGAAGAGGCAUCUCUUUGCACUUAAAGCUCCGGCGGUAUAAGAUGGGCAUGCGUCCAAUUAGCUAGUUGGUGAGGUAAUGGCUCACCAAGGCUACGAUUGGUAGGGGUUCUGAGAGGAUGAUCCCCCACACUGGUACUGAGACACGGACCAGACUCCUACGGGAGGCAGCAGUGAGGAAUAUUGCGCAAUGGACGAAAGUCUGACGCAGCCAUGCCGCGUGCAGGAUGACGGCCCUAUGGGUUGUAAACUGCUUUUGUAUGGGAAUAAACCCUUCUACGUGUAGAAGGCUGAAGGUACCAUAAGAAUAAGCACCGGCUAACUCCGUGCCAGCAGCCGCGGUAAUACGGAGGGUGCAAGCGUUAUCCGGAUUUAUUGGGUUUAAAGGGUCCGUAGGCGGGCCGAUAAGUCAGUGGUGAAAGCCCAUAGCUCAACUAUGGAACUGCCAUUGAUACUGUCGGUCUUGAGUAUAUGUGAUGUUGGCGGAAUGUGUAGUGUAGCGGUGAAAUGCUUAGAUAUUACACAGAACACCGAUUGCGAAGGCAGCUGACAAAUAUAUAACUGACGCUGAGGGACGAAAGUGUGGGGAUCAAACAGGAUUAGAUACCCUGGUAGUCCACACCGUAAACGAUGAUUACUAGAUUUUGGCCUUAUGGUCAGAGUC